AACCUAACUCCAGCGCUAGCUAUCGCUGCCGUUCAAAUGGUCUCGAGAUUCGUGCCAAGAAUAGAGCAAUCUUUUGCAAAUAAGCUGAUUUCCAUUUAGUGGUUCGAUGUGAAUCCGGCCCACAUCUGGGCACUCUGCUCUGCUGUUGGAGUCGUUGGGCUCGUCGCAUUCUGUUGUAUCCAUUGGGCUCGUCCGGUACUGCUCGUCGUAUCUAAGUAGUCUGUCCCGUAGACACAGACACACAGUCUCCUCUACUCUCUCUUUCUCACCGCAACCAUCGCGUCUCCUUACCCUCCGGCGACGACCUCCCGUUCCGCCUCCCUCCACCUCCCUCGCGCAUCCAUCCCGUCGAUCUGCCACCCAUCCCUCCCCAUCUCGGUAGCCGGCGGCGCUCCGCAGCCACUGAAACACGCGGAGUCUGGUGGUGGUUGGCCGUUUCCCUCAGCGCCCACCUCCGUCGCCCUGCGCUCGCUGGCCGGAGAGGAGAGCGAGGCCCCUCCGGCCCCCUGGCCUCCCUUUCACCUCUAUGCAUACCCGAUUAGUUGCUAUGCCCCUGUAUUUAGGCUUGUUGCCUUCCGUUUGUAGGAGCGGCAUGGAGGAGCCGGCGACUGUGCUUUGGGCCCCUGCUUUUGCUCCUGUACACCGUUGUUCUCAUCGCUGGACAGGGAGAGGUCGGAUCUGAGGCUUCUCCACCAAAAUAAUCUCUGGGAUAUCACCGAAUCCGAACAGUAUGUGAGUCCCCGCUUUCCCUUUCCAAUAAAUCCCUGCUUUUUCUGUGUUGAUUCGCCGGAUUCUGCAACCAAUAUCGUUCAUCUCCGGCGUUCGGUUCUAAGAGCUUCAUUUGUGCUCCCUUCCGGUUCUGGGGGAGAGGAGCAUGCGCUCUUAUCUUAUUUGGCUCCGCUCUAUACUUCUGCCAAUGCUGUCCGCUCUGUAUCCAUGUGCACAUUACACUGUUGCUUACAUUCUCUGAUUUAUCUUGCUUAUUUUGACCUGACCUUUGACCUGCAACACAUUUGUUCUUCGAAUGCUGUGUGACAACAAUGUACUACUGCUAGAACUGCAUCCUAAAUAUUGAUUGUUCAGUCCCAGUAAUGCUGAUUGUUUUACUUAUAUGUUCUUGUAUUUGUUACUGAGGAAUGCUUUUCAUUUUCAAAGCUAGUCUGCAUAGAAGCUGUAUGUCAUGUUUACUCCUCUCAUUCCAUCUACUGCAAGCUGAAAACCAGUGUACACUGAAUUUUGCUGAAUCUGCUCUUUGUUUGACAAAAAAAUAGAUCUUGGGUGAUAAUUUGUCAGAAAUUAGAUAUUCAUUUGUGGAAGCACUUGGCGCCAUACUUGUUGUACAUUGUUCAAGGUUGCCGUGCCUUGCAUUUUUUUCAUGUAGAAGUCAUUUGCAUGUGAUCUCUGUCAAAAUAAUGUGUUAGCAGGUGUGUUACUCGAUGGAUGCCUCCUCCUGAAGGUAAGAUGCUCAUCCUGAUCAGAACAAUUUUUGUGGGGCUUUAGGCUCGGUCACCAGAUAUGCUUAAGGAUGAGGUUCAACUGUGUUGUGAUAUCCAGGCAAUUUGUGUACAACUUGAAACUGAUCGUGAUGGAAGACAAAGGAAGAACAUCAGAGAGUGUAUUCUUUAUAUUCUUAAGCAAAUCGAAUAGCUUAGGAGUGCUUUCAUUUCUUUUGAAUUUGUCUUUGUAAGAAGGGAAGCAUACUGAGCGUCCCAGUUCAUGGCCAAACCCCGUUCUGUUAGCUCCCAGGUUAAUGUUUGGCAUGGACAAGCGCUUGCUUGUAUCGCCCUGUUGUAUGAAACUAUUACUUAGUCGAUUGUGGGUUAGUUUUGCACUUGAGGUUUCUGUAGGUUGUCAGCAUCGUUUGUGUUCUCAUUGCUGGUAGAUGGCUGCUGCAUGCACUUGGGCAAGAAAGUAGCUGGGCUAGAGAAAAAGGUAGCUAGCUUCAGGAUGGGUAGAGAAUUCCCGUCCAAUAAUUUUGUUUCUGGCCAUUGGAAUCGAUCUAACUUGGGCAUGGCUCCCUAUUCUAGUUUUUUGGCCUCUUUCUUUCCUGCAGCAACUGUGGACCUUGUGAAUCUGUUUUAUCUUUGAACUUAGAACAUACGUCCUGAAGAAGCUCAUUGUGGUUUCUUCUAUUGCAGAUCUACAAGGAGGAGCAACGCUUGAAGAAGCUCAUGACGUUGCAAGGCCAAGGAAGAAGCUUAAAGAGCUGCAUUCCUUCACAUGUAGCUAUGAUGUAAUGGUUAACCAUCCAAAGUACAGUUUCAGUGUAAUCUAAUGUUUAAGCAAUAUUAAGAAUUCAGAGUUAUUGUGGUUAGUGCUGUAGCGAGCAGCCGCAACCCCUGACUUUAAAUUGUGGUUAGCGCUUGUUCGGUCUACUAUUGUUGAACUCGUUUGGUGCGAUGCUGUAAACAUUGGUUCAAUGAAAUCUGAAGAGGCGCUUGUCUAA